AUUGAACGCUGGCGGCAUGCCUUACACAUGCAAGUCGAACGGCAGCACGGGAGCAAUCCUGGUGGCGAGUGGCGAACGGGUGAGUAAUACAUCGGAACGUGCCCAGUAGUGGGGGAUAACCCGGCGAAAGCCGGACUAAUACCGCAUACGACCUGAGGGUGAAGGCGGGGGAUCGCAAGACCUCGCGCUAUUGGAGCGGCCGAUGUCAGAUUAGCUAGUUGGUAGGGUAAAGCCUACCAAGGCGACGAUCUGUAGCUGGUCUGAGAGGACGACCAGCCACACUGGGGACUGAGACACGGCCCAGACUCCUACGGGAGGCAGCAGGUGGGGUAAUUUUUGGGACAAGUGGGCGCAAGCCUGAUCCAGCCA
rnacentral:rRNA from 1 species